GUCAGAUGUGGUGGUCUACAACUGGAACCCUAGCUACCAGGGAGAUUGAGGUUGGUGAAUAUCUUGCAUGUAGGAGUUUUGAGUUAUAGUGCUAUAUUCUGAUCAGUUGUGUGUAUUAAAUUUGGCAUGAAUAUAAUGGGCAUCAUGGUGCCUAAAGAGGGGUGAAUUGGCCGAAGUUAGAAAAAGAGCAGGUCAAAGCUCCCCAUUAAUGAGUAGUGGGACCAAACCCGUGAAUAUCUCUCAUAAUUCCAGCCUAGAUUAAAUAGGGGGAAACAGUCUUUG
rnacentral:SRP_RNA from 1 species